UCGGGAAUUUUGCCCAAUGAGCGAAAGCUUGAGGCAGCAACUCCGCGUGAGGGAUGAAGGCUCUAGGGUCGUAAACCUCUUUUCUCAGGGAAGAUACAAGACGGUACCUGAGGAAUAAGCGACGGCUAACUACGUGCCAGCAGCCGCGGUAAUACGUAGGUCGCAAGCGUUGUCCGGAUUUACUGGGCGUAAAGAGCGCGCAGGCGGCUGGCCAAGUCCGUUGUGAAAGCUUCCGGCUUAACCGGGAAAUUGCAACGGAAACUGGUCGGCUUGAAGGUGGGAGAGGGUAGCGGAAUUCCCGGUGUAGUGGUGAAAUGCGUAGAUAUCGGGAGGAACACCAGUGGCGAAGGCGGCUACCUGGCCCAUUCUUGACGCUGAGGCGCGAAAGCUAGGGGAGCGAAC
rnacentral:rRNA from 1 species